CACCAAUGAAUGCAUAAGGAUUCCUGAAUGUUAAAAAAAAGAUUCACUUGUGUUCAAACCCCCAAUACUUAGCUGACCACGUAUGUAUUGCUGAAAAUUUAGAGGAUGCAAAAUACAUCCUGUUGAUGGCUAAGCCAACAGAUAUUCAACAUAAGGACAAACAUGUCCUUUAAUGAAAACGAGCAUUUGAUCGAGAUGCGAAGUUUAAAGAAAAUUACUAUCAUGUCUUUGCUGAAGGGCUCACGAGCGGUCAAUCACGUGGGAACCCAAUUUGGCACAAUGAUCUUGAUGCCUCUCUUUCUCAAUAACCCUCAGCACUGCAAGUCCACCGGCAGAACAGACGGUACCCACCAAAAGUGUAAAAUUGAAUUUUCUGAGCAAUCACAUUUGCUAUUUCUGGUGCUGUCACCACCGCUCCUAAUGGUAAACCAUUGCCAAUACCCUUUGCCAUGGUAACUACGUCAGGAAUGACUCCUUGUGUAUCAAAACCUUAAUAAUGACUUCUCAUGCAGCCAAAUCCAGCUUGCACAUCAUCAACAAUGCAGACACCUCCAGCUUUGUGUACAAUGUCAUAGUCCAUUUUCAAGUAUCCAGGGGCUAAUUCAACAAUUCCUCCAACUUCCUGAAGUACCAUAAUCAAUGUCAUCUUGCACAUCUUUGGCAUAACCAGUGGGAUCAGAACCAAAGAUUCCUUGGUAUGGAUUUGGGUUAAUCACAUGAAAGAUUUCAACCAGCCUUUUGAUGCUGUGCGUGAACAACAACUAAUGUUUUGCUAAAUCAAGCUGCAUUUCUGUUGAAAUUAUACAGUGCAUCAGGACAUGCCAAUCCCUCCUCCAAGAAAAAGAGCCUUUCAGAAGCAUAUGCGACACAUUCUCAAUGCCAAGAGAACAGUAACAUAAUUAUUUCCAUAAUCAUCCGUUGUUAACCUCCUAAGCAUAGUUCCAAGGGGAAGUUGACUACAGUAGGCACCCAGAACGUUAAAAAAAAACUGAAAAAUUAGCGAAAACAGUGCCUUCUUAAUGUGUCAAGAACCCGCCUUUUGUAGACUUCCAUUGACUUGAGAAUUAUCUCAAAAUAUGUCAACUAGACUUAACAGCAGAACUCUUCUAGUCCCUUUCUUAUGCUUACCAAUAGUCCCGGCAGGAACAUAAACCAUCCUUAAAAUGAUGAAAACGUGUAACAUCUCUCACAAUUAUUUCUCUUCCCACAACCUUGGAGAUAAAUUUGAUAGCUGUGUGACAAUCAUUACAGACUCUGAGAUUCUUCAUAAUCCUCAAGGUGGUGUUUUCUGGGGUACUUAUUAGCCCAAAUGCGAUGGCAAGUUUCUCACUGUGAUAUUUAAGAAGCUUAUCCUUCACCUCUACAUCAAGGUCAUGCAAUACAGAUUCAGUGUCUGGGACAAAACCCAUCUUUUUUAUCUCCUUCCAGAUCUUGUCCAUCAUUUUAUAUAUUUCAUCUUUUUGUGGGUGAAGGCCAUCUUCAGCACCAAAUACAUGAACUUUGUUCUGAAUCUGAAGCCAACUAAAUCCUUGCUCUUUCUUCACUCCUCUAUCCUUCAUUAACUUUCUAGUUUUAGCAGCAUCUUCCCAUUUUCCACAAGCCGAGUACACAUUUGCAAGGGCAGAGAAUGCCCCACUGUUGUCAGGCUGAAUAAGUAGCAGUCUCUCUGCAGCAACUUUUGCCAGAUCAACAUUUUUAUAAACCUUACAAGAAGAUAACAGUGAACCCCAAGCUAUAACAUCAGGUUCAACAGGCAUAUUUUCUAUAAAAUUAAAUGCUUCUUGCAGCAACCCAGCACGCCCAUACAUGUCAAUCAUGCAUGCAUAGUGGCUUAAAGUUGGCUCAAUUUUGUGUACCCUUGCCAUCAAAUUAAAAUAGCUCUGGCCCUGUUCCACCAAUCCUACAUGUGUACAAGCGGAGAGCACACCAACAUAAGUUAUAUGGUCAGGCUCAAUACUGAGUACCAACAUCUUCUCAAACAGCUCUAUGGCUUCUUCUCCAAGACCAUGUUGAGCUAAAGCUAUAAUCAUGGAAGUCCAAGAGACAGUGUCCUUCUUCCAACAUAUAAGAUCAAAUACCUUCCGUGCACCAUUGAUGCUUCCAGUUUUUGCAUACAUUGUGAUCAGUGCAUUGCCCACAGAAACUGAUAAAUCUUCCCCUGAUCUUAUGGCACUUGCAUGAAUUUGUUUUCCAUGAUUCAAAGAAGCCACACCUGAACUGACACUCAACAUGGCUGCUAGCGUAAAACUGUUUGGUUGAGGUCCUUCAUUAGCCAUUUUUCUGAAAAGCUCCAUAGCAUCAUCAUUUAAGCCAUUCUGUAUGUAACCUACUAUCAUGGCUGUCCAUGCAACGACAUCAGUGUCUCUCAAUGAGUCAAAAAUCUGUCUCGCUGGAGUAAUAUCCCCGAGCUUGACAUAUCCAUCCAAUAGGGCUGUAAAUGCUAUAACAUCAAGAUCUGAAGUCCCACUUUGCUCUACAACCCUUUGAGCUAUUUCAAGCCCUCCAGACUUUGCAUACAUUGAGAUCAAAGCAUUUUGCACUGCACCAGAUAUAUCAAACUCUGUCCUAACAAUGUAACCGUGAAUUUGUUUCCCGAGAUUCAAGUUCUCAACAUUGGCACAAGCUGAUAAAAUGCUUGCUAAGGUGAACCUGUCAGGUUUCAGAGUAGAAUCCUGCAACAAGUUAGAGAAUAGCUCUAGUGCUUCGUUAUCUAGACCAUGCUGAUUGUAUCCUGCAAUCAUUGAAUUCCAAGUAACUAUAUCCCGUUCAUUCAUUUGCUUAAAUUGUGCUAGGGCAAGGUCAACUCUACCACAACGCAUAUACAACGAAAUCAUAAUAUUCCAGCUUGAAAUGCUCCUCAAUCUCAUCCUAUCAAAAAUAAUUUGAGCCAUAACCAAAUCUCCAGCCUUAGCAUACAUAUUCAGAAGUGAAUUCCCUACAGGAAUAUAUCCACUAAGCCCUAAUUUAACAAUAAAAGAAUGAGCCUUUCUACCUAUGCCUAGAGCCCCCAGAGCAGCACAAGAAGAAAGUACAUUAGUAAUCGUGAACUGGGUAGGUGUAACUUUAUCCUUUACCAUCUCUACAAACAUCUUUAUUGCACUCUCAAAUAGACCCAUUCGAUUAUAACCAACAAUCAUUGUAGUCCAUGAAACAGAAUCACGAUCAGGUAUUUCAUCAAACAGACGACGGGCCUUGCCCAUUUUCCCCAGUUUUGCAUACCCUGAGAGAAUCGUAUUCCAUGAGAAUGUGCUCUUCACAGGCAUUUCAUCGAAUAAGUCGUGGGCAUCAAUAAUAUACCCAGAUUUUGCGUACAAAUUCAUGAGGUUGUUCAUUAAGUAGACACUAAAGUUGAGGCCUAAUUUAAUCAUCUGGGCAUGGAUUGGUUUACCCAUUGAUUGGUCUUUGGAUUUGAGGCUUGUUUGUAAGAGAAAGGCAUAAAAAUCUGAAGAAGAAGAAGAAGAAGAAG
rnacentral:misc_RNA from 1 species